CGCCUGGGGAGUGCGGCCGCAAGGUUGAAACACAAAGGAAUUGACGGGGACCCGCACAAGCGGUGGAGCAUGUGGUUUAAUUCGAAGCAACGCGAAGAACCUUACCAAAUCUUGACAUCCUUUGACCCUUCUAGAGAUAGAAGUUUCCCUUCGGGGACAAAGUGACAGGUGGUGCAUGGUUGUCGUCAGCUCGUGUCGUGAGAUGUUGGGUUAAGUCCCGCAACGAGCACAACCCUUAAGCUUAGUUGCCAUCAUUAAUUGGGCACUCUAAGUUGGCUGCCGGUGACAAACCGGAGGAAGGUGGGGAUGACGUCAAGUCCUCAUGGCCCUUAUAGGUGGGGCUACACACGUCAUACAAUGGCUGGUACAGAGGGUUGCCAACCCGCGAGGGGGAGCUAAUCCCAUAAAACCAGUCGUAGUCCGGAUCGCAGUCUGCAACUC
rnacentral:rRNA from 1 species